UACGGGGGGAGCAAGCGUUGUUCGGAUUUACUGGGCGUAAAGGGCGCGUAGGCGGCGCAACAAGUCACUUGUGAAAUCUCCGGGCUUAACCCGGAGCGGUCAAGUGAUACUGUCGUGCUAGAGUGCGGAAGGGGCUACUGGAAUUCUCGGUGUAGCGGUGAAAUGCGUAGAUAUCGAGAGGAACACCUGCGGCGAAGGCGGCUCUCUGGGACGGUACUGGACGGCUGAAGACGCGAAAGCGUGGGGAGCGAACAGG
rnacentral:rRNA from 1 species